rnacentral:lncRNA from 1 species
GCAAGAGGAACUCCUCAGUCUGGCUGGUGGUGGCGCGACGCUGGGUACAUACACACUCACACACUGGUUCCUUUUUCGCUGUCUGAGCUAAGAAUACUGUCAACUGUAAACAGGUAAGUGAAGGUGAUGGCUGGCUACCUGACCUACCUGACGUGGGUGUUGCUGCUGGCUCUCUGCUACACGCCCGCACCUGCUCACUCUGAGAACUUGGGGUUGUCAAGAGGCCAUGGAAACAGACACGUCCGGCAGGCAUUGGAAGAGGCUUCUUAUUUCUAUGACGGUGGAGUUGAUGCAACGAACCCCAGCACGGGAGCGAUAGUACACAACCCCAACAGUAAUUACCGACCACAAGUGGUGUUUGGUCCCCGACCUAGACCACGGCCCACCUGGUACUACAACCAGUACAACCAACACUACAACCAGCCUUCUUGGUACUAUAGAGGAUAGCCGCUGGUACUACCCCUGCAGCUACCACCACCAUCCUUACUAAUGCUGAGUUGUACCCCACCUCCGACCCGGGUGGGACAGAUCCUGUUUAAACACUGCCAAGUUCCUUGGAAGUAUCAUAAAUAAAUGUUUAUGGGUUAAAUUAUGACAUUACCGUCAUUAACGCUCUGAGCUGUGAGCGUUAAUAAAAAUAUGAAGCUGAUAUGUAUCUGAGGUUCAGGAGACUCACGUGUAUCAUGAGCGAGAGAGAGUGUAGGACUGAGGGUAGAGUCAGGCCAGGGGUCUGGUCCUUACUGUUGACAUAGCCAGGUCACAGGGCUAUAGGUCAGAUGUCAAGAGGUCAUCUGUUAGACAAGAAGAUUCAUUACCAUACAUCACUAACUUCAGUAUUAGAGAGAAAAUGGUAGACACUGGCUCAUAGUUUACUCACCGUGGGUGUAGUAAUUAUAUAGUGCACAUUUAUAUAAGUAUUACUGUCUGUUAGACAGGGGAUAAUGUAUAACCUAACUGUCUCAGAACUAACUACCGUCUAUAGUCGUUCAGAUUAAUAAUAAUUGUUAAGUCUCUCUACGCCUCAAGACCUUAAUACAAUUCUAUGAGGUGAUAAUGAAAAGUUUGUCUUAAGUCUUUUGAUAAAGUUUAGUGUUUGUUAUAGAGUGUGUCUGUACACCCUACUUCUCUGAUGAGGGAAAUACUUGUUUCUUAAUGUUUAUGUUGUUAAUACAAUUGUUUAUUAAACGGCCAUUAAUAAAUAUAUUAUAAUUUAAA